UCUGGGCCUGGGGAUGCACGCCUGUAAUCCCAGUUACUCAGGAGGCUGAGGCAGGAGGACCACAGGUUCGAGGCCAGCCUGGACAACUUAGUGAACCUGUCUCAA
rnacentral:sRNA from 1 species